GUAGGUGGCAAGCGUUGUCCGGAAUUAUUGGGCGUAAAGCGCGCGCAGGCGGUUCUUUAAGUCUGAUGUGAAAGCCCACGGCUCAACCGUGGAGGGUCAUUGGAAACUGGAGAACUUGAGUACAGAAGAGGAAAGCGGAAUUCCACGUGUAGCGGUGAAAUGCGUAGAGAUGUGGAGGAACACCAGUGGCGAAGGCGGCUUUCUGGUCUGUAACUGACGCUGAGGCGCGAAAGCGUGGGGAGCAAACAGGAUUAGAUACCCUGGUAGUCCACGCCGUAAACGAUGAGUGCUAAGUGUUAGGGGGGUUUUCCGCCCCCCUUAGUGCUGCAGCUAACGCAUUAAGCACUCCGCCUGGGAGUGCGGCCGCAAGGCUG
rnacentral:rRNA from 1 species